AGAAUGUGAGAUUCCUACCAAAAAAAGGAGAAAAAUGUCAACAUCCUCUCAGAAGCCAUCAAGCCUCCCAAAGCCUCCAAGUUACAAACCACCUACUGACAUCACAGCUCACUCACCUGAGGAAGAUGAGCCAUCCCUUCCAAAUCUUUCAGCUAAUAAUACUUUUCAUGAUACAGUUUUUGAGCCUGAUGGGAGGUAGCAACAUUGGAGACGCUGUGAGGAGAAUCCUUCGGAAAAUAGCCACCAAUGAGGCCUGGUCAAAUUACAGCCUGAAAGGCCGAAAAGGAAAACUGACCUUCAUUGGGACAGCCCUCCACCAUAUUGUUUUAAGUAUGCUUUUCAAAACUUCUCUCUUCUUUUCACUUCAUCAUGCAACUUUUUAAAGAGCAAAUGAUAAACAGAAAAAUGUCUGUACUUACCCUGUACCUUCGAAUAAUUUGUUUUCUCGUUUUUGACUUCUAAACGAAAAAAAAAACAAGUAAAAAAAAAAAAAAAUCAUUUUAUUCAGCAAGGAUGCAUUAAAUUGGCCAGAAAAGAGAGUUAAGAUUUACAUUUCAAAUAAAUGCUGCUUUUUUUUCUUUCAUUCAUCAAAUAACCCUGAAAAACACAAAAAUGUGAAGAAGCACAACUGUUUUCAUCACUAAUAAUCAUAAAUGUUUCAUAUGGUUUUA